GCUGGCGGCAUGCUUUACACAUGCAGUCGAACGGUAACAGGUUAAGCUGGACGAGUGGCGAACGGGUGAGUAAUGCAUCGGAACGUGCCCAGUCGUGGGGGAUAACGCAGCGAAAGCUGUGCUAAUACCGCAUACGAUCUAAGGAUGAAAGCGGGGGACUCGCAAGAGCCUCGCGCGAUUGGAGCGGCCGAUAUCAGAUUAGGUAGUUGGUGGGGUAAAGGCUCACCAAGCCAACGAUCUGUAGCUGGUCUGAGAGGACGACCAGCCACACUGGGACUGAGACACGGCCCAGACUCCUACGGGAGGCAGCAGUGGGGAAUUUUGGACAAUGGGCGCAAGCCUGAUCCAGCAAUGCCGCGUGCAGGAAGAAGGCCUUCGGGUUGUAAACUGCUUUUGUACGGAGCGAAAAGGCUCUCUCUAAUACAGGGGGUUCAUGACGGUACCGUAAGAAUAAGCACCGGCUAACUACGUG
rnacentral:rRNA from 1 species